GAUGAACGCUAGCGGCAGGCUUAACACAUGCAAGUCGAGGGGUAUUGGUUUUCGGACCAAGAGACCGGCGCACGGGUGCGUAACGCGUAUGCAAUCUACCUUUUGCAGAGGGAUAGCCCCAGAGAAAUUUGGAUUAAUACCUCAUAGUAUAGUACUUUGGCAUCAAGGAACUAUUAAAGUCACAACGGCAAAGAUGAGCAUGCGUCCCAUUAGCUAGUUGGUAAGGUAACGGCUUACCAAGGCUACGAUGGGUAGGGGUCCUGAGAGGGAGAUCCCCCACACUGGUACUGAGACACGGACCAGACUCCUACGGGAGGCAGCAGUGAGGAAUAUUGGACAAUGGGCGCAAGCCUGAUCCAGCCAUGCCGCGUGCAGGAUGACGGUCCUAUGGAUUGUAAACUGCUUUUUGUACAGGAAGAAACACUACUUCGUGAAGUAGCUUGACGGUACUGUAAGAAUAAGGAUCGGCUAACUCGUGCCAGCAGCCGA
rnacentral:rRNA from 1 species